GUGUUGCCUUUAAUACUUAAAAUGGCGCCAAUAUUUGUAAACAAGUUCAGUCGGAGUACUCUAAUAUGAAGUUCAGUAAUCAUGUCAAGACCAACAACAAACCAAACUAAUCCCGGCGACAGACGCAGAACACGUGUUGUAAGAAGAGCUCGCCAUGAAACAUUGGAAGAGGAAGAGGAAACUGAGGAAGUGAUUGAGAGACCAAGGGGCUAUAAACCUCCCACUGUCGACUUUAACACGGACCACAUGCGGAGAUUUCUUGCUUACCUGGAGGAGACAGAGGUACAGAAAAAGUUCCAAGGUCUAAUGAAGCAGUUACUGAGUCUCUCAAUGCUGCCUUACAAUCCAUACCCUGGGUUUGUGAUGCGGUUUUCUGGUCUAGAAGAGAGACACAGAGUUUGAUAGCUCGUACCUGGAUGAAGUGGUUUGUGUGCGGGGACAUCGCUAUGUGUGGGGCCUGAGGGAGGUAGUCAGUGCUGUGUCCCCCUCCAGACUCCAGAAGUACUCCUGGCUAGUGACCAACCUCAGUACAUUUCCCGGCUACACCAGGAAUUUGACACUAUCACUAGUUGGCCCAGCGGUCUUUGAAGGAGUGUACUACUCAGAGGUUCAUGUGCCCCAGUUUAGACUGGAAAUGACCAUCUAUCAGCCAGAUCUACCAGAGGGUAUUCAGGAAUUCGCUCAUGCAAUCAUCAGUCAUAUGGAACACCUCAACAAGAGUCAUCAGGUGACAGAUAUUUAUAUUCCACAUCAUGAGAAAAUGCACUUCCUUGAUAAAUGGGAUAUUGAGAGCAUUCAGAGAGAAAAGACAGAGUUUGAGCAGGCAGUAAGCCGCGCUGUGCUCUACCAUCUGUUUCCUACCGUCGAUUGUGUCUUCCGACUGGACCCUAAUGGGGAGAGAUACUCUGCUGGUCAGAUCCAGUACGCUGUCAAUUUCAGACACCCGCCAGAGGGUUUCACAACUUUUCAGGAGGAUAUCAAACUACCCGAGGUUGGGAUCCCGAUGUUCUCUCUGUAUGAUGGAGUGUACCUAGAAAGAAACCAUGCAGAAUACUACAUUGGUCUCUUCACACCAGACCCAAACACGAUGACUGAAGGGGUUUCUAUCAGUGGACCAUUCAGCCAGAAGGUCACAGCAGGAGUCAGAGAUUACUUAAUGAAGAGAAUAGCAGGAUGUGUGAUGUUUGCCGAGUUCUCAGAAGCUGUUUACUGGUCUUUACUGCUGUACCAGAUGAACAGGUCUUCUUACCCCAGUGAGAUAGCAGAGGAAAUCCUGAAGCUGUGCAGCUCCACUCUGGGUCAGCUGAACGUUCUGUGGGACAUGUGUCAGAGCCUGGUGAUAGUGACCAAAGCCCAGCAAAAGGAUGGACAUUACAGUGAUGAGAUCAGAAGACAGAUGGAACAUUUCAGGAAGACAGCAGCUGUGAUGUUUGAUAUAACACUAAUUGAACGAAACCUAAGCAUAAAAUGCUUGGGUGAUUUCUUGAUAUCUAAAUUUGACACCUUUCUAUCCAGUGAUUAUACUUCCUUUGAGGUACACAAGGACCUUUCAGAGCUGUACUUUUACAUCCAGGGCAUGUUGAUUCAAGUCUCCCAAUAUAUGGCUGAACUCUGUCCAGCACUGAAAUCAGAAAUCUUAGAUGUUGCUCUAGUUAAUCACUCAAAUGCCCAGCCUGAACCAAUUUUCACUCGACGUCAAAGACCUGAUGCUAAUGGAGGAGUGAGACAUAACGCUGAUGUUGUACAUGGCAUGGAGGACGAGAAGAUGAGAGAUCUAGAACAUGAACGCAUGGUUGUGGAUGUGGCAGCUAAUGGUGGUGAUUAUAAUCAGAUGAUAAGGACUGAGGGGGUCCUAAUGCAAUACUCCGUUGACACACACCUGGAUGAGUCGUGGCACAAAUUUUUGACUGCUCUGCUGAAUAAGGACCACCUUCCUCCCAAUCCUUACCCCACACUCAUCUCACUGUUCCGAGAGCAGGCCAUGAGAAUGGACCUGGUUUAUCAGCCGAAGUCCAAUAUUACAAGGUCAUUGUUUCAAAUCCACCCUAUCUCUGAAGAAAAGGAAAGCAAAGCAGAGAAUAGGCAAUCAGAUAUCUACAAAGUUAAUGGAGUAGAUGCCCAUGGUCUGUUGAGCUCUGUGUAUGUUUUGGACAAUGCUGGGUUCAUUUCAAUCAGUGAAGUUGUUCAGCCUUUGAUUCAGAACAGAAAGUCGGAGAUGAGAAAACAAUUCUUGAUAAAUGUUGGAACAGCAUUGAGUGGUCCUAGUAUUCUGUAUGGGAAGGCCCAGCCGUACCUGAAGACAAUAGACCUCCACGAUCACUACUACAUCCAGGGGCCGGUGGAGCAGAAGGAGGAGGCUGUCAGGGUGUUUGCCAGUAUGGUGGAGACUUACAUUGUGGAGUUGAUCCAUAAGAACUCUGUUCCCGUGCUGGGCCUCUAUUUCCCCUCGGAGCGCUGGUCCUGGGAGAAUAUCAUCAACAGACACGAGAAGAAGGGAUUCUCUGAAUUCUCCACCGUAAUAUUCCAACAUGUUCAGCGGAAAGAACCUAUCUACAUGAAGGCUGUGGUUCUGAUAGACUGGAGAUACGUAACUGUGGAGAAAUAUUUCUUGCUGCAUUACCUCACUGACAAAUUUAUUGAUCCUGACCUCUUUUACCCAGAAAGUGGAGUAACAAUCUACCAGAGUGUGUUUUUCUCUAAAGAAAAAGCACAGUUCCAUCGUCAAAACGGACAGCUGGAGUACGUCCCGGAAUUACUGGAACAGGACGUCACGGCAGCGGAGGAACGUGUCGAUCAGCUAAUUGCUAUCGGAGCCCGGCAAAACGAAUGGCUGGAGGUCCACAGGGGGGUACUGCUCAAAAGCCUGCUAGGAAUGGUUAGAGAUGACAACAUAAAGGAAAUCACCGAUACUGAUGUAGACCAUUUUGAGGUUUUGUCUAAGGAGCAGACUUACAUAGUGGAGGCCUGGUAUGUUCUUCAUAGUAUGGCAGCUCAGAUGGAGUAUAUGAUCGCCUUGACUGGUUCCCUGCAGGACCUGACACAGCUCUUUAUGGAGAUGGACCAGUACAAAAAGAAGUAUGAUGAUUACAUGGCUAAAGUCACGAAGGAAGAAAGGCCACCUACACCACCAAAGGAGCAAAAGAAGAAGGAAAAGGAGAGAAAAAAGAAGGAAAAGUUAGCCAAAGAAAUGAGAGAGAAGGAGGAGAAAACAAAUAAAGUCAGUUUGUUAGAGAGGCAGAAGAUGAUAGUGAAUGAGAAAAAUGCAGAAGAGGUGAAGGCUGAGGAGGAAAAGGAGGAGGAAGAAUUGUGGGAAGAAGAGUUUGAGAAGAAACAGACCCCAGGUGUGGUAGUGUCUAGUAAGAAGGCAGGAUUUGCAGUCAUUGAGGACUUUAAGAUGAUCCUAGAUGAAGCCAUUUUAAGUAGGAUGGUGAUGAUUUACUGGAGGAAGCUGAUGCAGGUCCUGUCUGCCAAAAUCUUCAUGGUGACUCCGAGUCUGAGGCGGUACAUAGAGCUCCGCCUCUCUCCCUGUCUAGAAGAUGACCCUCAGUCAGGCAACUUCUACCUAGCUUACAAACAACAGACAAUUGAGCGACUUGAAGAAAUCAAACAUCUCCUACACGCGGUGCAGGUCUCAUUGUCUUAUGACGUGCACAGAAUUUGUCCAGAGGCACAGGCACUUGUAGAAGAAUUGUUGUCCAAAUAUCCAGAGCAUGGAAACGAGCAGAAACCAACAUCACAUUGAUCUUCCUUUUCUUGGUGUAUCAUUUUUCUGGUAAAACUUGAUUCUUUGAUGAAAAUUUCAACUGUGAAUACCAUCCACUGGAAGAUUCUUUCUAUCAAAUAGAAUGCACUGUGAUAUUGGUCAGAACUUCCACAUGUUAAAUCUAUAAUGUCACUCCAAAUAAGUCUCAUUUAAAGAAAUCAUGAGAUGUUCACCACACAAAUUUCACAUUAAAUUUUGAAAUCCGUAUCAUGCCUCUGUUAUGAAAUUCAGUUCACACAACAAGUUCUUGAGAGGCACAAUGGUGUGAAAUCCCUUGAAAAAUGCUGCUAAAAAAAGAAAGCACAAAACAGCUUAUUCAAAACAAGCAUUCUAAUGUAGUUGGAUUAUCAAUUUUUUAACUGUGAACUGACAUGUAACUUGCUCAAUAAAUACCUUUUAUCAUUUU
rnacentral:misc_RNA from 1 species